rnacentral:rRNA from 1 species
UACGUAGGGUGCAAGCGUUGUCCGGAAUUAUUGGGCGUAAAGAGCUUGUAGGCGGUUUGUCGCGUCUGCUGUGAAAUCUCCGGGCUUAACUCGGAAAGGUCAACUGAUACUGUGCGACUAGAGUGCAGAAGGGGCAACUGGAAUUCUCGGUGUAGCGGUGAAAUGCGUAGAUAUCGAGAGGAACACCUGCGGCGAAGGCGGGUUGCUGGGCCGACACUGACGCUGAGGCGCGAAAGCCAGGGGAGCAAACGGG